rnacentral:rRNA from 1 species
GAUGAACGCUGGCGGCGUGCCUAAUACAUGCAAGUCGAGCGAACAGACGAGGAGCUUGCUCCUCUGACGUUAGCGGCGGACGGGUGAGUAACACGUGGAUAACCUACCUAUAAGACUGGGAUAACUUCGGGAAACCGGAGCUAAUACCGGAUAAUAUAUUGAACCGCAUGGUUCAAUAGUGAAAGACGGUUUUGCUGUCACUUAUAGAUGGAUCCGCGCCGCAUUAGCUAGUUGGUAAGGUAACGGCUUACCAAGGCAACGAUGCGUAGCCGACCUGAGAGGGUGAUCGGCCACACGGGAGCUGAGACACGGUCCAGACUCCUACGGGAGGCAGCAGUAGGGAAUGUUACGCAGUGGGCGAAAGCCUGACGGAGCAACGCCGCGUGAGUGAUGAAGAUCUUCGGAUCGUAAAACUCUGUUAUGAGGGAAGAACAAAUGUGUAAGUAACUAUGCACGUAUUGACGGUACCUAAUCAGAAAGCCACGGCUAACUACGUG